UACGAAGGGGGCUAGCGUUGCUCGGAAUCACUGGGCGUAAAGCGCACGUAGGCGGAUCUUUAAGUCAGGGGUGAAAUCCCAAGGCUCAACCUUGGAACUGCCUUUGAUACUGGGGAUCUCGAGUCCGGAAGAGGUUGGUGGAACUGCGAGUGUAGAGGUGAAAUUCGUAGAUAUUCGCAAGAACACCAGUGGCGAAGGCGGCCAACUGGUCCGGUACUGACGCUGAGGUGCGAAAAGCGUGGGGAGCAAACAGGG
rnacentral:rRNA from 1 species